ACUCAAAGGAAUAGACGGGGGCCCGCACAAGCAGCGGAGCGUGUGGUUUAAUUCGAUGCAACGCGCAGAACCUUACCCGGCCUUGACAUGCUGGUGGUACCGAGGCGAAAGCCGAGGGACCCGCGAGGGAGCCAGCACAGAUGCUGCAUGGCUGUCGUCAGCUCGUGCCGUGAGGUGUUGGGUUAAGUCCCGCAACGAGCGCAACCCCCGCCCCUAGUUGAAUUCUCUGGGGGGACCGCCGGUACAAGCCGGAGGAAGGUGGGGACGACGUCAAGUCAGCACGGCUCUUACGGCCGGGGCGACACACACGCUACAAUGGCCGGUACAACGGGCCGCGAACCCGCGAGGGGGAGCCAAUCCCAGCAAAGCCGGUCCCAGUCCGGAUGGCAGGCUGCAACCCGCCUGCCUGAAGUCGGAGUUGCUAGUAACCGCCGGUCAGCACACGGCGGUGAAUACGUUCCCGGGCCUUGCACACACCGCCCGU
rnacentral:rRNA from 1 species